rnacentral:rRNA from 1 species
UGGGGGAUAUUGCACAAUGGAGGAAACUCUGAUGCAGCGACGCCGCGUGAGGGAAGACGGUUUUCGGAUUGUAAACCUCUGUCUUCAGGGACGAAAUGAAUGACGGUACCUGAGGAGGAAGCUCCGGCUAACUACGUGCCAGCAGCCGCGGUAAUACGUAGGGAGCAAGCGUUGUCCGGAAUUACUGGGUGUAAAGGGAGCGUAGGCGGGAAUGCAAGUUGAAUGUCAAAUCUACCGGCUUAACUGGUAGCCGCGUUCAAAACUGCGUUUCUUGAGUGAAGUAGAGGCAGGCGGAAUUCCUAGUGUAGCGGUGAAAUGCGUAGAUAUUAGGAGGAACACCAGUGGCGAAGGCGGCCUGCUGGGCUUUUACUGACGCUGAGGCUCGAAAGUGUGGGUAGCAAACAGGAUUAGAUACCC